AAAGCUCUGUAUGGAUUGAAGCAAGCGCCCAGAGCUGGGAAUUUGAAGAUUGAUUCAUUUUUCAAGAAGCAAGGUUUUCAGAAGUGUGAGAUGGAGUAUGGCGUGUAUGUUCAGCAUUCUGAAAGCAAUAUGAUUUUGGUAUGUUUUUAUGUUGAUGACAUAUUGCUGACGAGAAGCUGUUAUGAAGGAGUUGUCAAGUUCAAGAAGACUCUGAUAAAUGAGUUUGAGAUGAUUGACCUAAGAAAGCUGGUUUACUUUCUAGGGAUGGAGGUAUUAUACUCCGAACAAGGUUUAAUUUUGCAUCAGCUGAAGUAUGAACUUGAGCUUCUGAAGAAAUUCAAGCUG